rnacentral:rRNA from 1 species
AGCGAUCUGGAAUGUAAAACCAAGUAUAACAAAGGGGCUACUAGGGAUGACUAGGCAAUGGAUCGGAAUGAGGUCUAAUCCAAACUGUCGAAUCCGAUCAAGGGUAUGUUAAUCAACCCGGUCUCGACGAUCAAGGCCAAAAGGUGCCUCACUUACCCUGGGAAUUGAAACAUCUUAGUACCAGGAGGAAAGGAAAUCAACCGAGACUCUACAAGUAGUGGCGAGCGAACGUAGACAAGCUAUCUCUAUCAGCUUAAACAACCUCUGUUUACGUUUAUGCGUAGCAGCAGGAAAAUGGUAGCCUUCGGACAAAGACAUAAACAAUAGCUUGGAAUAGCUAGCCACAGAUGGUGAUAGCCCAGUGAUGAUAUGACUUUGCUCCCUUUUGGCAGUGAAUUUAAUUCCUUAGAGAGAAUUGGCGGCUUGUCAAGCUGCUUUUAUAAUACCCUGUCUAUUAAGGCAGGAAAGGUGUACCAUCAUCAAAGCUAAGUAUGCUCCAUUGACCGAUAGUGCAGAGUACCGUGAGGGAAUGUUGAAAAAGCAGGUAGUAAACUGGUGAAAAGCCUGAACUAGUGGCUCCAUAAGCAGCUGGAAUCACAACAGCCAUUGACUCCAACUCAAUGUGUGAUGACAACGUACCUUUUGCAUAAUGGGUUACCAACCAUCAGACCCGAACCCAGGUGAUCUUGCCAUGGCCAAGUGCUAUUUAAUAAGACUGAACGGGUGUCCGUUGCAAGGGACUCCGAAGAGCUGUGGCAAGGGGUGAAAAGCCAAUCUAACCUGGAGAUAGCUGGUCUUCUGCGAAACCCGUUUUAGCGGGUCGCCCAUUUAUUGAAAUUAAAUUCGUUACUAGACGGUACGGCACUGGAAGCCACGCAGCUUUUGCUGCAUAAUCGGGGGGCUGUCAUGGCUCUAUCGAUGGCUUCUAACCCCGGAAAUGUAUAGUAUACAAUGAUGGGCAAUCAGACGUAUCGUGAUAAGGCGAUUCGUCAAAAGGGCAACAGCCCAGAACAGGUGUGAAGGUCCCUAACAAGCUACUGAGUGAACACAAGGCAGUCCUCUCCAGUGUCUCUCCACAAAGUGGGCUUGGAAGCAGCCACCUUUUAGCGAUAGCGUAACAGCUCAGUGGUCUGAGCCUCCCUGUAAAAAGGGUAUAUUGCCUGGUGAGGGCGCCAAAAAUGUAACGGGUCUAUAGUAGUUGUCUCUCUGUUCCAGCUUUGGAUAUGGAGGGAGUGGCAGUUUCUUUACUGUCUCACCGAAACCCUGUCCUAGAUGUAAAAUUCUAGGGGUAGCAGAAUACCCAGCAAAUGGAAUGAAGCUUGCUCAUUGAGCCGGUGGACAUAGCUGGGCUAAGAAUGCUGACAUGAGUAGCCUAAAAGGAGGGUAAUUCCCUCUUCGCCGAAAGCAGAAGGGUUUCAUUUGUAAGGUCUAUACCUAGAUGAUUAAAGCAGCGGCCUCUAAGGUUCAGAGUAACAAAUUAGUUCCGAUGAGUAACUCUUCUAUAGGGCAGUAACCUUCCUUAUAAGUUUACCUUCAAGUAAUUAGAGGUAUACUUCAAAGAGUAAGGUUCGGGAAAGAGCCCUACAGAAUAAAUCUUAAAACCGUACCCUAAACCGACACAGGUCUGCAAGUAGAGCAUACUAAGGCGUAGAGAUAAUCGUCUUGAAGGAACUCGGCAAAAUGACCCCGUAACUUCGGGAGAAGGGGUGCCACUAAUAAGUGGCGGCACUAAACAGGGGGGCGCGACUGUUUACUUAAAACACCGGACUCUGCUAACACUAGCGUGGAUGUAUAGAGUCUGAUACCUGCCCGAUGCUAGAUAAUCAACUAAGCCGUUCUAGGAUGGCAAAGGAAGCUCUAGUCAAUGGCGGCUGUAACCUUGACGGUCCUAAGGUAGCGAAAUUCCUUGGCAUUUAAAUGAUGUCCCGCAUGAAAGGUUUAACGAAGCUCCCACUGUCUCCAAGACGAGCUCGGCGAAAUUGAAUUAUCCGUGAAGAUGCGGAUUACCUCCAGCUAGACGAGAAGACCCUUUGAAGCUUGACUGCAACUAGUUAGUGUGUAACCGCUACUAAGGUACAAAGGGAGUCGACUAGACGAGAUACCUUGAUCUUUGUAGUAGGUUUCACUAUAAAUGCUGGCUAGUAGGCAGUUUGUCUGGGGCGGCAAUCCUCACCUAAAGUAACUGAGGAGUCCGAAGGUGUGCUUUGCUAGGUUGGAAACCUCUCUAUGGCUAUGGUGAGCCUAAAUAAGCGCAAUGGUAUAAGCAUGCUUGACUGUGAGACCUACAAGUCUAUCAGGUAAAACCCUUUCUAUUUACCCCUUCAUAAAUCAGGUCUCUCACGGCUAAAGUUAACCUUACCUUCUUUCUUAUUUCAUCACUUGUUAGCCUUGGUUCACAGUGCAGCGCACUUGUGGAACAAGUUUGUUUUGUUUAAAGUAGUAAAGGAAUGGAAGAAGGGGUAAUUAGGUAUAAAGGGUAUAGGUAACUAGGGCAUAGUGACCCGGUGAUACAUUAUGGAAUGUUCAUCGAUCAACGGAUAAAAGCUACUCAAGGGAUAACAGGCUGAUCCUCCACGAGAGUCCAUAUUGACUGGGGGGGUUGGCACCUCGAUGUCGGCUCAUCCUAUCCUAGAGCAGUAUAAGGUUCUAAGGGUUCGGCUGUUCGCCGAGUAAAAGGGUACGUGAGCUGGGUUAAGUACGACGCGAGUCAGUACGGCUUCUAUCUACUGGAGGGAGUUGGAAGUAAGGAGGAAGCUAUUUUUAGUACGCGAGGACUUAAAUGGAGUGACCUCUGGUUUACCAGUUAUCAACAGCUAAUAAAGCUAUGGUAUGGCUGGAAAGCUACGUCACGAAUAGAUAACUGCUGAAACCAUAUCAAGCAGGAAACUACUCCUCUAUACUUCCUUUGAAACUUAGGGUAGACCACCCUAUUGAUAGGGCCUGGGUGUAAUAGCAGUAAUGCUUUUAGCCUCGGGUUACUAAUUGUUAAGCAACUUGGUUUUACCAGAUCGUU